rnacentral:rRNA from 1 species
GACGAACGCUGGCGGCGUGCUUAACACAUGCAAGUCGAACGGUGAAGCGCCUUCCUUUUUGGUGGGUGUGGAUGAGUGGCGAACGGGUGAGUAACACGUGAGUAACCUGCCCCCUUCUUCUGGAUAACCGCAUGAAAGUGUGGCUAAUACGGGAUAUUCUGGGUCUGUCGCAUGAUGGGUCUGGGAAAGAUAUUGUUUCGGUGGGGGAUGGGCUCGCGGCCUAUCAGCUUGUUGGUGGGGUGAUGGCCUACCAAGGCGGUGACGGGUAGCCGGCCUGGGAGGGUGGACGGUCACACUGGGACUGAGACACGGCCCAGACUCCUACGGGAGGCAGCAGUGAGGAAUAUUGCACAAUGGGCGCAAGCCUGAUGCAGCGACGCCGCGUGAGGGAUGGAGGCCUUCGGGUUGUGAACCUCUUUCGCCAGUGAAGCAGGCCUGCCUCGUUUGUGGGUGGGUUGACGGUAGCUGGAUAAGAAGCGCCGGCUAACUACGUG